UACCAGCACCCCGAGUGGUCGGGACGUUUAUUGGGCCUAAAGCAUCCGUAGCCGGUUCUACAAGUCUUCCGUUAAAUCCAGCUGCUUAACAGAUGGGCUGCGGAAGAUACUAUGGAGCUAGGAGGCGGGAGAGGCAAGCGGUACUCGAUGGGUAGGGGUAAAAUCCGUUGAUCCAUUGAAGACCACCAGUGGCGAAGGCGGCUUGCCAGAACGCGCUCGACGGUGAGGGAUGAAAGCUGGGGGAGCGAACGGG
rnacentral:rRNA from 1 species